rnacentral:rRNA from 1 species
UACGGAGGAUGCGAGCGUUAUCCGGAUUUAUUGGGUUUAAAGGGUGCGUAGGCGGGUUAUCAAGUCAGCGGUAAAAUCGUGGAGCUCAACUCCAUCCAGCCGUUGAAACUGGCGGCCUCGAGUGGGCGAGAAGUAUGCGGAAUGCGUGGUGUAGCGGUGAAAUGCAUAGAUAUCACGCAGAACUCCGAUUGCGAAGGCAGCAUACCGGCGCCCGACUGACGCUGAGGCGCGAAAGCGUGGGGAGCAAACAGG